UGAGGAAUAUUGGGCAAUGGACGCAAGUCUGACCCAGCCAUGCCGCGUGAAGGAUGAAGGCGUUCUGCGUUGUAAACUUCUUUUAUCUGGGAAGAAACCAUCUUUUUCUAAGGGUGUUGACGGUACCAGAGGAAUAAGCACCGGCUAACUCCGUGCCAGCAGCCGCGGUAAUACGGAGGGUGCAAGCGUUAUCCGGAUUCACUGGGUUUAAAGGGUGCGUAGGCGGGUAGGUAAGUCAGUGGUGAAAUCCUUGAGCUCAACUCGAGAACUGCCAUUGAUACUAUUUAUCUUGAAUAUUGUGGAGGUAAGCGGAAUAUGUCAUGUAGCGGUGAAAUGCUUAGAUAUGACACAGAACACCAAUUGCGAAGGCAGCUUACUGGGAUACAACUGACGCUGAGGCACGAAAGCGUGGGGAUCAAACAGG
rnacentral:rRNA from 1 species